GCAAGUCGAACGGUAACAGAGAAUAGCUUGCUAUUUUGCUGACGAGUGGCGGACGGGUGAGUAAUGCUUGGGAAUUUGCCUGAUGGUGGCGGACAACAGUUGGAAACGACUGCUAAUACCGCAUAAUGUCUACGGACCAAAGGGGGCUUCGGCUCUCGCCUUUAGAUUGGCCCAAGUGGGAUUAGCUAGUUGGUGAGGUAAUGGCUCACCAAGGCGACGAUCCCUAGCUGGUCUUAGAGGAAGACC
rnacentral:rRNA from 1 species